GCGCCGGGCUCGAGCUGGUCGGAGCGGCGGCAGCUGCGAGGACCCGCGGGCUGACUGACUGAUGGGCGGACAGGCCAUGUCGUCCUGCACCUGCUGAACUGUAGCGCCCAAGGAUGUCUGCGUUGAGGAAGGUUUUACCUGGCAUUCUGCAGAAGCAUUGCUGUAUCUUACCGGACAGGAACACAGGCUUUGCUUGCAGUCAGGGUAGGAACUGGCAGAUGUUAUGUGCUUCAAACCUGAAGG
rnacentral:lncRNA from 1 species